rnacentral:rRNA from 1 species
UACGUAGGGGGCAAGCGUUGUCCGGAAUCAUUGGGCGUAAAGAGCGCGUAGGCGGCCCGAUAAGUCCGCUGUGAAAGUCACAGGCUCAACCUGUGAAUGCCGCUGGAAACUGUCUGGCUAGAGUCCGGGAGGGGCGAGUGGAAUUCCUGGUGUAGCGGUGAAAUGCGCAGAUAUCAGGAGGAACACCGGUGGCGAAGGCGGUUCUCUGGGCAUUACCUGACGCUGAGGAGCGAAAGUGUGGGGAGCGAACAGG